rfam:Neotoma lepida isolate 417 scaffold_6493, whole genome shotgun sequence.
UUGUCAGCCAGGCUCCUGGCUAAAUUCCAGCUCCUAGCUGGAUUUUAGCCAAAGCUUGGCGAGGAA